UCUAACGUGGCAGAUAAGUGCGGUGGAUUUAAGCUCCACAAAUAAAGUUUUAACUUUCAUUAGAA
rnacentral:tRNA from 1 species